rnacentral:lncRNA from 1 species
AUAUGAUGAGUGAUAAUUUCAUUAGUCAACAAGCACCAGGCCUUUGGGUCUACAAUGAUUAUUGAGUUAAUGGACUCAUUAUCAAACACCUUAAUGGGAGGCUAUGACUCAGUUAUCUCCAUAACUUUAUCAUUUUAAGGACCUAAUAAUUUUAGAGGAUUUAAAAUUAUUAGUGAUUUAAGGAUAGAAAAGACAUGGAUCAAUUUGCUCCCACUGACUUCAUCAAGUCAAGUCCUCCCACUGACUUCUCAAGUCAUUAACAAGGACUAGGAUCAAAUUUGGUCCAUGGGCACCU